AGGCGCAACAGGAAAGAGCCAAAGGUGAAGACUAUAGAUAUAAUUCCCUGGAACUCAUUUUAAUAAGAACGGUCUUUUCGAGGAAAAAGUUAUGAAUAUGUAUAGGUGUUCCUGGAAUAACCAUAAAUAUGUAAUCCUUUACCACAUUUAACCAAGCUUGCUGCUACUGGAAAGGUGUGCCACGGUGGAACGGAGACUCCCCAGCCGCCCAGCGCUGUUUUGCCCACUUGCCGCUUGCUGCAAUAAAUUCUAAGCAAUUUAUUCCGACGAGUGUGUGCUAUUUAUCGUGAUCAUCUAUAACAGAGAACCAGAGUAAGAGAGAGUUCCCAUUCCAAAGUACCCAAUUCAGAUUUCAGGCAACAGAUGAUGUUUUCUUUGUCAAGUUUAUUUCAGCCCAUUCAUAAACCUUGUACGACGAUGCUGUACAGAUUUGUGGCCAAUAAGAGGAAUACAGAAGAGAGCAGAGGCCUUCUCAUACAAGUUCAGAAGAAUCUGUUAUUUCUCUCUGCACAGCAAAGAAAUAGUUGUAGAAGAGGUAGCCAAGCUGAGGAAUUAUAGUUUGUUUGUUUUCUGAAAAAAAAAGAAAUUUAUAUACCGAGUGAAAACCAUUUCAAAUCACUUUGUAUAACACAGAUUUUCCACAUAGUGACUCACUUUAUUUUUGUUUUUUAGUUUAGUUUAUGAGUUUGAUAAAAAUAUAGGAAAAAAUAUUUCUUUUCCAGAAAUACAGAUAGAAGAACUUUGUCUCCAAAGUAAAAGUGUUACAUUUUUAUUUUCCCUGUGCAUAGAGAUAUUUGAUUUUAAAACAUCUAAAGAUACAAUCUAUGUGCAAAUAUGAAAGUGCAUGUAGAAGUUACACACCUACACUACUUCCAUACGGUGUCAACGGACAAGAAGAAAAACUGCUUUAUUUCCUUCUUCUCUGAUAAAAUAUUACACAAAUUGAGAAGGAAUUGAAUUAUAAGUAAUGAAAGCUCAUUUCAUAUAAGCAAUAUAAUUUUAUCCAAGUCAUUGAUGUUGUGAGAUAUAUAUAUUUAAGAAAAGGAUUUCAGAGGAACAUUGGGUUCAGACACCUAAAUCAAGUGAACAGAUCCUCUAGAAUUACGUGAAAGUAUUUAUCUCUCUCCACUAUUUGGGAUAUUUAAGAAAUUACUUUGGGAAGAUUUACUCUGUUUGGACUGAAAAGCUUCUCACAAGUUAGGGAAAACUCAGAUAGAAUGUAUUUCCAGCAACCAUCUCCAAAGCUUUAGACUUGGGAACUAAAGCAUUUCCUAUCUUGCUUUGCCUUAAAAGCAGGAAAUGACAAACUAGUUCUUUCUCAGUAAGAUCAGAAGAAAGACUAAGCAGGACCAGAGAUAUAUUUUAUGUUACUACUGAUUUAUUGUAAUUGUCUAAGCAACUUUCAAAAAUAGGUGUGAACUCAUUUGGACCCAAAGAAACAAUUUUUCCCUUUUCUAAACUUGAAAUUUUGUAAAUGACUGUAUUAAUUUAAAUUUCUUCCUUAGUUGUCAAUAAAAAUGGUAAAAGAUUGUAUUUUCACUGUUGUUGAGAAUUAUUGGUAUAUUUUUAAAAAUUAUUUUUCUGUUUAGUUUUCAAUUCUUUGUAUACACUCUUCAAGUAUCUUUCCUCCUUGAAUUAAACUCCAUAUUGGGAGGUAGUAGCUUUUAUUUCUGCAGUAUCUUUGCACCAAAGUAUAAUUUUAAGAGAUAGGUUUAUGUUUCUAUGUUUGUAUGCGGAUUUAUUAUAAUAAGCACCUGAGAAAGCCCCAUGUGGUUAAAGUUGCAGAAUUCUAUCAUAUAUAACUACAUGUUUUCACACAGUGUGAAUCCUCUCAAAUGUUCCCUCUGAAGAGAGUAUUCCAGGCCUGUAAAUUUCGUAGUUACCUAAAGAAACACUCAAAGAAUUUAAAAGUUCCUUCAGCAGGUUUGAGUGUGAAACAGGAAAGCAGUAUCAUAUAUAAGUUUAAAAGAACUAUACAAUCAUGAGUUGUAUAUUCAUACUGAUUUACUGUAAAAUGCCAUAGGAAAUUUUGUCAAAAUACAGAAGAAGACAUCAUUUGUUCAUUUCUUCUAGCAUAACUUGAAACUACUAUUCUGUAUCUUUCCUAGGACUUUCUGACUACCAUUUCUUGUGUGCAGCUCCUUCACUGUGAUCAAAACUACAAUCCUCUGUUGGAAAAGCUUUUCUUGAUGAAUGUUCUGUGAUAAAUACAUUUGUUUUGUAAUUUGCUUGCUGAUUUUUUUUAAAUAUAUCUUCUUUGAAUCUUGA